rnacentral:rRNA from 1 species
UGAAGCGAACGCGGCGAACUGAAACAUCUAAGUAGCUGCAGGAAAAGAAAUCAACCGAGAUUCCCAAAGUAGUGGCGAGCGAAAUGGGAAGAGCCUGUACGUGAUAGUCGUUUGGAUAGUGGAAUGCUCUGGAAAUGGCAGCCAUAGCGGGUGAUAGCCCCGUACACGAAAUUCAAGCGGUGGUACUAAGCGUACGACAAGUAGGGCGGGACACGAGAAAUCCUGUCUGAAUAUGGGGGGACCAUCCUCCAAGGC